rnacentral:lncRNA from 1 species
AUCUCCUGGAGUAGCAACUUGGCUUGUUUGAGGCUGCCGAAUUUGGACUGGCCGUCGAUCAGUGUGUUAUAAGUCACCACAUCGGGUACGCAGAUGUUUUUUGCUUUCAUCUCUAUCAGCAACUGAUGGGCUUGUGAUAGCCUCCCUGCCUUGCAGAAGCCGCUUAUCAACGUGUUGAAGAAGAUGACGUCGGGCUUGCAGCAACCGCUGUCAAGCAUCUUGCGGGACAGCUUCCACGCGUCGUCGACGUUUCCAGAUUUGCAGAGACCAUCGAUCACAAAGUUGUAAGACAGUAAGUUCGGUAAGCUUCCGCUCUCGAUCAUUCCCAGUAAGAUGUUUUUGGCUAAUGGAAACUUUCCGGACCUGCAGAGAGCUCCGAUGAAAGCAUUGUGGGUGUACACCUCCAUAACGCAACCAGCUUUCAUGGCUUGCUCGUAGGCCCAGGAAGCGCUUUCGAUAUCUCCUGCUCGGAUGAGUGCAUGAAUAAGAGGAGCGUAAGUUGCCGACAGCGCAUAGUGC